UCCGAUACUCCGACUAAUUCAGAGUAAGAGAUGACAAUGGAGGUGACACGGCGGCCUUUGGCAUUGCUCACUAUGAAAUUAUGAAUUGUUUUGCUACUCGCACAGCUCUAACAUUGCAGAGUCGAGGAAUUCUGUCCCUCAAAGUGAUCGAGUAAAGGUAUUAGAGAAGGAGGAAGCUGCACCUACAUGGUGUAUUGCCAAGCCUUCUGCAGAUGCCGAAAAGCUUCACCACAACAUUGACUUCAGCCGCGGCCAACUGGAAUAGACUGCAGACCUAUUCUGCCCGGUGGUAAUUUAAUUGCUUUGAUCCGGACAAUGCUGUUUCACAUGCUUCAGUUGCAAUGAAUCUGUUCUACAAGGCCACCAGAAAGAACCCUUGGGACUGCCAUUUCAAUGGCACUGGCUUAAUCAUUUAUCAGAACCCAUCUGUCGGCAUUUGCCACUAUCAAGCUUAAGG